UAAUCAAUAAAAGUUUACUCGUAUAUUUUGGAAAUAAGGUCCAAAAGUUUCUACGUCCUAACCACAAAUAUGGAUGCUAUGGGUAGAGAUUAUAC
rnacentral:ncRNA from 1 species